UUAAGAUCGUGACAAAAAAAGGUCAUUCAGAAAGAAAGUGGGAUCUGAUAAUGUGCACCCUUCAUAUCAAAGUGAUUUGCUCUGGAUGCUUUCACAGCUUUCGUGUCAAGUCUUGGUCAAAUGUUGUCCAGAAUUUCAUGCAUUCUUUGCAAUGUUCCCUCACGAGGGCACUUAACUGAGUAUUUCAUGAUUUGAUGCCCACUUUUUCCCCAUGGACAAAAUGUCUUUCCAACCAAGACUCAUGAUUUGCAAACAUGCACAAUCUCAGAUAUUCUUAAAUGGACAAAAGUGGUUUUGUUGACAAGUAGGGCAUGGGACAAGACGAAUUAUAAUGCACAUCAAGGCAAUAGUUUGACUUCCAGCGUUUUUGAUGAACUUCUUAAAGAUUAAUGGAAGAAUACCUUUUCUCCAUAGAUAUAAUCUGUUUACUGAUACUCAACUGCAAUGAUUGUCCUGGCUUUAUUGGGGGCAAGACACUUAUUAGAGCAGUGCUUCCCAAACAUUUUUUGCAGCGCCCCCCUUUUGGAGAUGGGCUUGCUUUGUGCUGCAGAUGUUUUCUAAUCGUGGACACAACUAUGAGACAGCUACUUGAAGUUAAUUUUCAAUGUCCAGCUUUGACCUGUAUUUGGUCUUGAUUGAGGCAACUGCAAAAAACCCGAUCUCGCACAAGUAGGAUGUGGCGAAAGGCAGCAGUCUGGCCAUGGGUCUCCUGCCAAGCAGUGAGUAGUAGUCGAGAAGGAUUUCAGGUUCUCAAAGGAAUCUAUAUUCUGCUCCCACAUUUCUAGUUUUCUAGUAAAUGAAAACACCAGGUGUGGAAGGUGUGUGUUGGUACCCUGGAUCUGCAGAUUUAGUUCAAUGAGUUUUUGAAAGAUGUCACUGAGGUAUGCGAGUUUCAUGACAAAGUUGUUGUCUCGAAACUUGUGGUUAAGAUCAUUACCCUCCUCCUCCAAGAAUACUCGGAUCUCAUGCCGCAGUUCAAACACCCGGGAUAAAACUUUACCCCGUGACAGCCACCGAGACUCGCUGUGGAACAAAACUGCUGUGUGAUCAGAGCCCAUUUCGUCACAAAGUGCGGCAAAAAUCCGGGCUUUGAAGGGUUUUGUUUUAAUGUAGUUGACUUUGGCAAUGAUGUUCGCCAUUACAUCGCUCAGUUGUUUGGACGCGAGCACUUCUCUAUGGAUAAUACAGUGAGUCCACUGCGCAUCAGGAGCAACUUGCUUGACAAGCGCUUGCAGGCCUCCUCGUUUCCCAGCCAUUGCCUGAGCCCCAUCUGUGCAGAUCCCCGCACAGUCCUUCCAGUUCAGAUCAGCCUUCUUCAGGAGAGACUUGCUAAGAAUCAAGGAGGCUACUCCGGACGUUCUUUCACCAACUCUCGCAAAUCCGCGAAUUUCUUUGCCUGAGUUACUCACCGGAGCAGCGACCGUGGUCUUUGGCGCAUGGAGGCGGAGGCGGCACCGCCACAGAGGGAAGCGAGCCGGCAUCCAGGUGAAGCUCCGCAAGAGAGGAUACAGACUGCCGUUUCCGUCCAUCCACCUCAUGAAUCUACGCUCCCUACCCAACAAAAUUGACGAGCUUCAUCUUCUGAUAAAGACCAGUAAAGACUUCGGACGUUCCGCCGCCAUGUGCUUUACGGAGACUUGGCUUUGUGACGCUGUACCCGUUGGCGGCGUCAUGCUUUCCGGCCUCCAUCUUCACAGGGCAGACCGCGACAUGGAAUCAUCGGGGAAAAUAAAAGGCGGCGUGAUAUGGUUCUAUAUCAACGAAAAAUGUAAGGCCGUCACGGAGCUCAGCACACACUGCAGCCCGCAUUUGGGUUAGGGUUUUUGAAUUGUAAGCCUUUCUACUCGCUUUGCGAGUUCGCAUCAUUCAUUCUGGCUGGUGUAUACAUUCCGCCUCAAGCUACCACAAAUGCCGCACUGCUAACACUCGCCGAACCAGUAAACGAAAUUGGAAAAAAAAAAACCACCCGGACUCACCCCUCAUUAUUCUCGGGGACUUUAACAAAGCUAAACUCAACCACGAACUCCCUAAAUACAAGCAGCACAACGACUGUCCUGUCUUUGAAAAUUCAGCUGACAGCCUGGAUGAAUAUACGGACACUGUCACAUCCUAUAUAAGUUUCUGUGUAGAGGUUUGUGUACCAAAAAAGUCAUUUCGCACUUUCAACAACAACAAGCCGUGGUUCACUGCCAAACUUAAGCAACUUCGCCAAGCUAAGGAGGACGCAUAUCAAAGCGGGGACAGGGCCCUGUAUAAUCGCGCUAGAAACCUGCUGACUAAAGAAAUUAACAUUGCAAAGAGGAACUAUGCAGCAAAGUUGGAAAAACAGUUUAGCGCUAACGACUCUAAAUCAGUCUGGCAUGCAUUACAAUCGCUGACCAAUCACAAGCGACGAUGCCCCCAAGCUGAGAACAAUAGCACACUAGCCGACGACUUCAACGACCUUCCACUGCAGAUUUGAAAAGGACACUUUCACAUCCCACACGGCCGCACCACCGACCACAAUCUGACUUCUGCAUUGACCAUCCAUGAACAGGAUGUGAGACGCAUCUUCAAACAACAAAAGAUUAACAAAGCGACAGGCCCGGACCUUGUGUCCCCAUCCUGCCUCAAAGUCUGCGCGGACCAGCUCGCUCCAGUCUUGACACAGAUGAUCAAUAGAUCUCUGGAACUGUGCGAAGUACCAUCCUGUUUCAAACGCUCCACCAUCAUCCCAGGCCCCAAGAAAACUACAAGGUUGUGUCCUCUUCUCUCUCUACACGAACGACUGCACCUCAACGCACCACUGUUAUCGGCCUCAUCAAGGACGGUGACGAACCUGCAUAUCGACAGGAAGCGGAGCGGCUGGAGCUGUGGUGCGGCCGACACAACCUGGAGCUGAACACGCUCAAGACUGUAGAGAUGAUCGUGGACUUCAGGAGGCAUCCUUCACCACAGCUGCCUUGUCUCAACCGUCGAGACCUUUAAGUUCCUGGGAAUUACAGUCUCUAAGGACUUAAAGUAGGCAAUCAACAUCAACUCUGUCCUCAAAAAGGCCCAGCAGAGGAUGUACUUCCUGCAGCUUCUGAGAAAACACGGCCUGCCACGGGACCUGAUGAAGCAGUUCUACACAGCGGUCAUCGAAUCAGUCCUGUGUUCUUCCAUCACAGUCUGGUUUGGUGCUGCUACAAAAAAAAGGACAAACUCCGACUGCAACGGACAAUCAAAACUGCUGAAAGGAUUGUCCAGUUCCUGUGUUCCAGAUUUACAGGGGAAUCCAAAAUGGAUUAAAACAUCAGAUUUAAAGGUAGAACUCUGUUCACGCUGCUGUUGCUGCCGCGGCGGCUUGCAAACAAGAACAAAAGUUGGCAUUUUGUUGUUGUUUGUUUGCAGCUUCCGUCCAUAUAUGAUUGGAUAUUUUACCCACCCCUAGUGGUGGCCCAUUGAAAUACACUUAUUUUUAUAACAGAGACAAAGGUGCAUAACGGUAAAACUCUUCAAACUCUGCGGAUGUACAGUAAGUGCAUAAAUGGUCCUAACUGCUCAUUAACCCCAUUUCACUUGUCUUUAUACAUUUGUAAAACAUGAAAUAGUUCUGACUCAUUCACAAUUCAUAUUCAUGUCUCAGAAAUAACCCUAUUUAUUAUGCCGUCUGCUAUUUUGUGAAUGCAAAAUGGCUGCCUCAUCCUGGCGCUUCAGCUUCAUAAAGAGACUCUCCGGGGGGGGGGGGGGGGGGGGGGGGUUGAAUAGGACCGUAUGAUGGCUAACAACUAUGAAUAAUUCAAAUACUCAUCAGUCAAAUUAAUUGAUUUUCAAAAGGAAGUUCAGUGUGUGCGCUACUCUUGUUUACAUUUAGACAAACAAAAACAACAGCUUUCAUGAAAACUUUAGAAAACGCCAUACAGUAAAUUGCAGAUGUGUUGUUGUAGUUUUGGCUGUGCAUACACACACACAGCAACGGCAGAAUUUGCACAUACACAUUUUGUAAAAAAUUUUGUAAAAAAAAAAAAAAAUUUCAAUUGAUGUUCAUGCUGUGGUAAGUAAUUAUUGUGUACUUUUUCUUCUUACUCGAGUUAUUUUUUGGAGAAUUACUUUUACUUGUGUCACAUAAUUGUCAAGUAACAGUACUCUCAAUUGAGUACAAUGUUUGGCUACUCUACCCACCUCUGGAGAGGACAUCCAUUGAGGUGCUGCAGUUUAGUCAAUUAUUUUUCCAGAAUGAGAAUUCUUAAAGAGGAGGAUGCUAUUCAUGUGGCACAGCUUGAAGCAGGCCUCAGGUGCUUAAUUUACAAUGUUUUUUCGUCACCUUUUUCAUGCCUUUGGUGUUUGCAUGUCUGAAUGUUUAAUUCUCUUUUGUUUUGUGUGUCAGUUUUCCAGUAAACCAACUGGGAGUGACAAAUAAACAUCUUGAAGCAAG